CGAGCGCGGGGCUCCCCGCUCGGGCAGGGGCAGAGGCGCGGGCCCUGGGGGCUGCGGCGCUUUGACUCGCGGUGCCCAGGCUGUGAGCGCCUCAGGCCGGAGCCUUUGGCUGCUGUGUGCGCACCUCUCGUGUCGUGCGGCUUGUGAGGAAUAACCCCUCGCUCCUGAGCCCUGCUUUGUUCACUGGCUUCACCCCCUGUCAGGCCAGGCUGCAGGGAUCUGGAAGGAGCGUGGUCAGAAAGAACAACUUCCACGUGAGCCAACCCCCCAGGCCCCAGCACACUCAGCUUUGGGCUGGUUAAAAGUCCAGAGCUCCCUUUUCGCAGCUCCAGCCAGUCUCUGUUUAAAACACGGUUCCGUUCUAUUAAUUUCAAGGAAUGUAAGACACAGAUAAGCACACCAGAGCUCACGAGGAACGGGAAGCACCGCAAGGAUAGAGAAGGGCUGUCUGCAGUAAUCACCCUCCAGGCCCUUUGCUCACAGUCUGAUGCAGCACUGGCUUGCAGGAUCUCACUGAACAUGUCAUCCUGAGUCAUCUUCUUUCUCGUCCUUAUCUGGCUCAGGGGUCCGUGGGUGUGGAGGGGAAGACUACCACAAGGCUUCAAUGACAGCAGCUGCAGAUAAAACACACAGAGGUGGUGGUCAGGGCCGGCUUUAGGACCUGCGGGGCCCAAUUUGAAUACCCGGCGGCGGUCCGGGUCUUUGGCGGCACUUCGGCGGUGGGGGGUCCUUCACUCAGCUCCAGGUCUUCCGCAGCACUGAAGGACCCCCCACUGCUGAAAUGCCGCCAAAGACCUGGAGCAGACCCCCCACCGCUGAAGUGCUGCCAAAGACCCGGAGCGGACCGCGGCCGGAGGAAGAAAUAAUCCCUACAAACUUUUGGGAGAGGACUGCAGCAUAUCUCCAUGAAAGUUUUACUGCGAUCUCUCAGGAGGAUUCAGUAACUACAGCCAACAUCUAAGUUGCUGAAACAUGAAAUUUCUUCCCUCGAAUAGACAACCUUGGAACGUCUAACCCAAAAGAAAUCCCAUUAGUCAUACACUGAGACUGUCUCUGGGAAAAUUGCUAGUGGAAGUGGGACAAAUAGGCCAGGCUCAGUUACAUCUCUUAUUCUGCUCUGUAAUGGCCUCAUGGAUAGCCAGACUAUUUUUCUUAUGAGAGUCUGAGAAGAGGAGGGUCCAACAGUUUCUGCUUCAUGAUGGGAGAAGAGCAAAAUCAGAGACAGCCCAGCAUGCAUCUCUUCCCCUCAGUGGCCAGACCAACAUCCAAACUAAUUACAUUUUUAAAGAAAAAUCAAGAAAGAAGGGAGUGUAUCAGUGAAAAGAGACGAAAGGAAGAUCGGCGCGAGAGAAAAUCUUGAAUGGAUGUGCCAGUCAAUCUGAAAGUAACUCAGGCACCCAUGAAUCUGAUCAACACACAGGAAGGGCUUGGAGCUUGAUAACAUGCUAACCUUUGAAGG